UACGGAGGGUGCAAGCGUUGUUCGGAAUCAUUGGGCGUAAAGCGCGUGUAGGCGGUUCGAUAAGUCCGCUGUGAAAGUCGGGGGGCUCAACCCUCGGAUGCCGGUGGAUACUGUCGGGCUUGAGUACGGAAGAGGCGGAGUGGAAUUCCUGGUGUAGCGGUGAAAUGCGCAGAUAUCAGGAGGAACACCAAUUGCGAAGGCAGCUCGCUGGGACGUUACUGACGCUGAGACGCGAAAGCGUGGGGGAGCAAACAGG
rnacentral:rRNA from 1 species